AUUGAACGCUGGCGGCAUGCCCUACACAUGCAAGUCGAACGGUAACGGGCCUUCGGGUGCCGACGAGUGGCGAACGGGUGAGUAAUGCAUCGGAACGUACCUUUCAGUGGGGGAUAACGUAGCGAAAGUUACGCUAAUACCGCAUAUUCUGUGAGCAGGAAAGCAGGGGAUCGCAAGACCUUGCGCUGAUUGAGCGGCCGAUGUCAGAUUAGCUAGUUGGUGAGGUAAAGGCUCACCAAGGCGACGAUCUGUAGCGGGUCUGAGAGGAUGAUCCGCCACACUGGAACUGAGACACGGUCCAGACUCCUACGGGAGGCAGCAGUGGGGAAUUUUGGACAAUGGGGGGCAACCCUGAUCCAGCCAUGCCGCGUGAGUGAAGAAGGCC
rnacentral:rRNA from 1 species